UUGAUUCUUUUGAUAUUCAGACACAGCCUCACUGGGCAUAAAGGCGGCGCCUUGAGCGCCGAAGCACGCUUUGCUUCCACAGAGUUGAGGGGUUGAAGGCCGGAGCCAUUCAUUAAUGAUCCCUCCGCAGGUUCACCUACGGAGA
rnacentral:misc_RNA from 1 species